rnacentral:rRNA from 1 species
CGUGAAAUUCCGUCGGAAUCUGGGAGGACCAUCUCCUAAGGCUAAAUACUCUCUAGUGACCGAUAGUGAACCAGUACCGUGAGGGAAAGGUGAAAAGCACCCCGGAAGGGGAGUGAAAUAGAACCUGAAACCGUGUGCUUACAAGUAGUCAGAGCCCGUUAAUGGGUGAUGGCGUGCCUUUUGUAGAAUGAACCGGCGAGUUACGAUUUGAUGCAAGGUUAAGCAGUAAAUGUGGAGCCGUAGCGAAAGCGAGUCUGAAUAGGGCGUUUAGUAUUUGGUCGUAGACCCGAAACCAGGUGAUCUACCCUUGGUCAGGUUGAAGUUCAGGUAACACUGAAUGGAGGACCGAACCGACUUACGUUGAAAAGUGAGCGGAUGAACUGAGGGUAGCGGAGAAAUUCCAAUCGAACCUGGAGAUAGCUGGUUCUCUCCGAAAUAGCUUUAGGGCUAGCCUCAAGUGAUGAUUAUUGGAGGUAGAGCACUGUUUGGACGAGGGGCCCCUCUCGGGUUACCGAAUUCAGACAAACUCCGAAUGCCAAUUAAUUUAACUUGGGAGUCAGAACAUGGGUGAUAAGGUCCGUGUUCGAAAGGGAAACAGCCCAGACCACCAGCUAAGGUCCCAAAAUAUAUGUUAAGUGGAAAAGGAUGUGGCGUUGCCCAGACAACUAGGAUGUUGGCUUAGAAGCAGCCAUCAUUUAAAGAGUGCGUAAUAGCUCACUAGUCGAGUGACACUGCGCCGAAAAUGUACCGGGGCUAAACAUAUUACCGAAGCUGUGGAUUGUCCUUUGGACAAUGGUAGGAGAGCGUUCUAAGGGCGUUGAAGCAUGAUCGUAAGGACAUGUGGAGCGCUUAGAAGUGAGAAUGCCGGUGUGAGUAGCGAAAGACGGGUGAGAAUCCCGUCCACCGAUUGACUAAGGUUUCCAGAGGAAGGCUCGUCCGCUCUGGGUUAGUCGGGUCCUAAGCUGAGGCCGACAGGCGUAGGCGAUGGAUAACAGGUUGAUAUUCCUGUACCACCUAUAAUCGUUUUA